CCGAGGUAGGGGUACAAGUCCUGCAGAAUUGCGUUCCACUGGACCUAAGCUGAGACCUGAAGAGGGUAGCGUCGAAUCCUCGGCGUUAGACGGGGAGAGUACCAGACGUGGUGUCCCCUCUGACG
ncrna:unclassified sequences Flavobacterium-1 RNA